ACUUUAUGAUGAAAAUCCUUUUUUCCAGUUCUGCUACUGAACAUUAUUGAUGACUCCUAAAUUACCAUACCAAGAUCUCUGAUGU
rnacentral:snoRNA from 19 species